UACAGAGGGUGCGAGCGUUGUCCGGAAUCACUGGGCGUAAAGGGCGCGUAGGCGGUCUGGUAAGCGUGUGGUGAAAGCUCGGGGCUCAACCCCGAGUCGGCCGUGCGAACUGCUGGACUGGAGCAUGUCAGAGGCAGGCGGAAUUCCGGGUGUAGCGGUGGAAUGCGUAGAGAUCCGGAAGAACACCGGUGGCGAAGGCGGCCUGCUGGGCAGUUGCUGACACUGAGGCGCGACAGCGUGGGGAGCAAACAGG
rnacentral:rRNA from 1 species